rnacentral:ncRNA from 2 species
UCGCCAUCGACGACUGGCGAGGGUGGAUCACCACCGGGAAGUUCGAUCGCGAGCAUCGCCCGCCUGGGUGCUCCGG